rnacentral:rRNA from 1 species
GACGAACGCUGGCGGCGUGCCUAAUACAUGCAAGUCGAGCGAAGCGGCGGUUGGGUGAGUAACGCGUGGGUAACCUGCCCUUAAGUCUGGGAUACCAUUUGGAAACAGAUGCUAAUACCGGAUACUAAAGGAUGGACCUGCGAUGCAUUAGCUAGUUGGUAAGGUAACGGCGUACAAAGGCGAUGAUGCAUAGACGAGUUGAGAGGCUGAUCGGCCACAUUGGGACUGAGACACGGCCCAGACUCCUACGGGAGGCAGCAGUGGGGAAUAGUGCACAAUGGGCGAAAGCCUGAUGCAGCCAUGCCGCGUGUAUGAAGAAGGCCUUCGGGUUGUAAAGUACUUUCAGCGAGGAGGCGUUACUCGCAGAAGAAGCACCGGCUAACUCCGUGCCAGCAGCCGCGAUAAUUC